UGUCUCCGGUGAUCAUGAUCACACGGAUCCCAGCGUCGCGGCACAGCUGGAUGGAGCCUGUGACCUCCUUGCGGGGCGGGUCCAACAUGCCCACCACCCCCACGAACGUCAGGUCCUCGCAGUGCCAGGCCAGCCACAGUGCCACCCUGUGCCCUUCACAGAAUACAUGCUAGAGCAGCCCGGGAAGACUUGGCCGGUGAGCAGUAGACAGACAUGGACUUUCUGUCCCGGGAGAACUCCAGGGUGAAUUCCUUCUUCAUCAGCUGGCGGAUCACCUGGGAAAGAGGAGACCAGGCCCCUUAACACAGUUAAAAAGGGUUUGGAGGUCACAGUGGACCCCCAGACUAAUGCUAAGGCUGAUACCUGAAGUACAAAUGGAAAGAAUUCCAAGGCUAAUGCUGCCAUAGUGUUACAGUGACUGGUUUAAAGCACAACAGAAACAAGAUGGUCUUGUGUGGUAUGGUCCAACAGGACUCUGAGAGGUGACAGAGAUCGGCAGUCCGCACUGUUCAAGCAGGUGAGCCAUGGCCACUGAGCACUGGGAAUGAGGUCAAUGUGACUGAAAAACUGCAUUUUCAUCUUUGUUUAAUUUUAAUUAAUUCAAAUGUAAAUAAUUGCAUGUAUUGUUGGUUAGGCCUCAUACCUGGCAUGCAGAAAAAAGCACUCCUCAAAAAUGAGUGAAAGGGGGCUGGGGCUGGGGCUCAGCGGUAGAGCGGUUGCGUAGAACGUGCGAGGCCCUGGGUUUGAUCCUCAGCACCACAUAAAAAUAAAUAAGCAAAAUAAAGGUUUUGUGUCCAAC